GGGGAAUAUUGCACAAUGGGCGCAAGCCUGAUGCAGCCAUGCCGCGUGUGUGAAGAAGGCCUUCGGGUUGUAAAGCACUUUCAGCGAGGAGGAAGGGUAGUGUGUUAAUAGCACAUUGCAUUGACGUUACUCGCAGAAGAAGCACCGGCUAACUCCGUGCCAGCAGCCGCGGUAAUACGGAGGGUGCAAGCGUUAAUCGGAAUUACUGGGCGUAAAGCGCACGCAGGCGGUUUGUUAAGUCAGAUGUGAAAUCCCCGCGCUUAACGUGGGAACUGCAUUUGAAACUGGCAAGCUAGAGUCUUGUAGAGGGGGGUAGAAUUCCAGGUGUAACGGUGAAAUGCGUAGAGAUCUGGAGGAAUACCGGUGGCGAAGGCGGCCCCCUGGACAAAGACUGACGCUCAGGUGCGAAAGCGUGGGGAGCAAGCAGGAUUAGAUACCCUGGUAGUCCACGCUGUAAACGAUGUCGACUUGGAGGUUGUGCCCUUGAGGCGUGGCUUCCGGAGCUAACGCGUUAAGUCGACCGCCUGGGGGAGUACGGCCCG
rnacentral:rRNA from 1 species